rnacentral:rRNA from 1 species
AUUGGUCAAUGGGCGAGAGCCUGAACCAGCCAAGUAGCGUGAGUGAAGAAGUAUUUCGGUAUGUAAAGCUCUAUCAGCAGGGAAGAGAAUGACGGUACCUGACUAAGAAGCCCCGGCUAACUACGUGCCAGCAGCCGCGGUAAUACGUAGGGGGCAAGCGUUAUCCGGAUUUACUGGGUGUAAAGGGAGCGUAGACGGCAUAGCAAGUCUGAAGUGAAAUACCCGGGCUCAACCUGGGAACUGCUUUGGAAACUGUUAAGCUAGAGUGCUGGAGAGGCAAGCGGAAUUCCUAGUGUAGCGGUGAAAUGCGUAGAUAUUAGGAGGAACACCAGUGGCGAAGGCGGCUUGCUGGACAGUAACUGACGUUGAGGCUCGAAAGCGUGGGGAGCAA